GGGGAUUUAGCUCAGUGGCAUAAGCACCUGCCUUGCAAGCAGGCAGUCGUUUGUUCGAUCCCUG
rfam:Cavia porcellus supercont2_15 genomic scaffold, whole genome shotgun sequence.